rnacentral:tRNA from 1 species
GCUCGGGUAGCUCAGUCGGUUAGAGCGCACCCAUGGUAAGGGUGAGGCCGGCGGUUCGAUUCCGCCCCCGAGCU